ensembl:lncRNA
GGGGACCUGAGGAUAUGACUUUGUAUGGAUGCAGCCCACAAAGGGUAUUUAAAGGGCCAAGAUCUGCCAUGCCCCUUUCAACCUCCUGUCAGCAUCAUGGCUCCUGGGUCUUCCCCAUCUUGAUGCUCCUACUCUGUGCGAUCCAGGGAAGCCAGCAAGGCGGGGUUCCCCCAGGAGCAGGGGCUGGAGCUGCGGCUGGGAGCCCACCAGGAAAGGCAGGCUAUGGCCCACUGCCAAAUGGCUAUGGAGCAGGACCUGGGGCUCAGAAUGGCUAUGGAGCAGGAUACAGGAAUGGACUGGGAGCAGGAGCCUUCCCUAGAGCUGGAGCCCAGACAGAGUUGCAUUCCCCAUCCCCCAUACCUUUGAUUCUGCCCACAAUCAACCUCCAGCCUGAGACCUCUCUGCUCCCCGAAAGGCCCGUAACACAACCCCUUCCCUCUGUCUCGCCAGCAUAUAGAAACGGAUUGGGUAAUGGGGCUUUCCCAGGAGCUGGAGCCCAGCCAGGGCUAGGAGGGGAAAUGAAACCUCAGAAAGCUGGAUAUGGGAACGGGCUGGGAGCUGGGGGCUUUCCAGGGGCUGAAGCCCAGCCAGGAUUUGGAGUAGGAACCAAGCCUCAGAAAGCAGGAAAUGGGAAUGGUCUACAAGCUGGGGCCUUCCCAGGAGCCAGAGCUCAGCCAGGUCCCUGUAAUAGGGGCUCCAUUCCAGCUCCCAAUGGAGUAGGGCCCGCAACAGGGAGUCCCUCAGAAAAAGGAGGAUUCAGGGCUCAGAAUGGCUAUGGACCAGUUUCUCCCUCAGGCCUUGAAGAUGGAUUGAAGACUCAUAAAACAGGACUCAGAAAUGUGUUUGGAGCUGGACCCUUCUCAGGGGCCAAGAUUCAGCCAGGCUAUGGUGCCAUGAAUGGGUAUAGAGCAGGUCUUAGAGGAGGAGCCAAACCACAGAAAACAGGCUAUGGAAAUGGAUUAGGAGCAGGUGCUUUCCCAGAGUCUGGGCCACAGCCAGGGUUUGGGACCCCAAAUGGUUUUGGAGUAGGCCUAGGUGGUGUGAAGCCUCAAAAAGCAGUUUAUAGCAAUGGACUGGGAGCUGGAACCUUUUCUGAGGUCAGGGCCCAGCAAGCAGGUUUCCCUGGGGCCAGAAGUUAUCCAGCCAAUGGCUACAGCAAUGGUGGGGCCAGCUUCUUUGGUGCUCAGGGAGUCCCCUUUCUCCCUGGAGGUUCAGACUCUGGGGCCAAAACUGCUAAGUAUGACUAUGGAAAUGGGGUAGGCGAAGGCUCCUACCCUGCGGAUAGAAGCGCGCCAGGUCUCUAUGGUCAGUUAAGACCAGAGGCAGUCCCCGGGACUUACGGUGGGCCAGAUGUGAAGCACAGCUUCAAUGGCUUCCUGGGAAAUGGCUAUGUAGGUCGCUGUCCUCCAGGGAAAUGUUGAGCCUAAAGGGUUCCCUCCAAUAUCCCCCAUGUGAAGAUCUUCAGGGGAGCUCGGAGCCUAAGACCUGGCCACCUUACUGCUGUCAGGUUUUUUGGAAAAAAAACCAGGCUCCUUGGGAGGGGAGUCUCCCCUCUGCCCCAUCAGGGUCUUUCUUUGGUCCUUUAACCCAGUCUUAUAAGGGGCCCCUCACAGCAGAGAGGAGGAGGAGGAGAUCAAGGGCCUGUUAAUAAAAGAUUUAAAUUCACAAGUUUGGUGGUCCA